rnacentral:rRNA from 1 species
GGAGGGAGCGAGCGUUAAUCGGAAUUACUGGGCGUAAAGCGCGCGUAGGCGGCUUUGUCAGUCGGAUGUGAAAGCCCAGGGCUCAACCCUGGAAUUGCAUUCGAUACUGCAGAACUAGAGUAUGGUAGAGGGAAGUGGAAUUUCCGGUGUAGCGGUGAAAUGCGUAGAUAUCGGAAGGAACACCAGUGGCGAAGGCGACUUCCUGGGCCAAUACUGACGCUGAGGUGCGAAAGCGUGGGGAGCAAACAGGGAUUAGAUACCCUGGUAGUCCACGCCGUAAACGAUGAGAACUAGAUGUUGGGAGGGUUGCCUCUCGGUGUCGCAGCUAACGCGUUAAGUUCUCCGCCUGGGGAGUACGCCGGCAACGGUA